AACGAACGCUGGCGGCAUGCCUAACACAUGCAAGUCGAACGGGAUCCUAGCUUGCUAGGUGAGAGUGGCGGACGGGUGAGUAACACGUGGGAAUCUGCCUUUUGGUUCGGGAUAACCGCGGGAAACUGCGGCUAAUACCGAAUGCCCUCGAGAGAGGAAAGGUUUAUCGCCAGAAGAGGAGCCCGCGUCCGAUUAGGUAGUUGGUGGGGUAAAGGCCUACCAAGCCGACGAUCGGUAGCUGGUCUGAGAGGAUGAUCAGCCACACUGGGACUGAGAUACGGCCCAGACUCCUACGGGAGGCAGCAGUGGGGAAUAUUGGACAAUGGGGGCAACCCUGAUCCAGCAAUGCCGCGUGAGUGAUGAAGGCCUUAGGGUUGUAAAGCUCUUUUGCCAGGGAAGAUGAUGACUGUACCUGGAGAAUAAGCCCCGGCUAACUUCGUGCCAGCAGCCGCGGU
rnacentral:rRNA from 1 species